UUCUCUCUGAAAGUUAUUUAAUAUCCUGGUUGAUCAAGAACAGUAACCGUGGCCUUUUGAAAUGAGAACGUCGAGGAUAGACUUAUACAGCAUAUGGAGACGAACUUCCAUUUCAAUUCUCACUGAUAUAAAGGAUGACCUCCACUCUUUGUGAGACAUGCAGUGGAAUCAUGUGAUUCGUUUUUCCUAUAUGCAAGGUGGAUAUAAAUUAGAUUUGUGACCUGUCUUGUAGUGCAUUGUGGUUAUCAUGGAGGGGACUCUAUCUGUCCUCACUUUCAAGAAUGUCACAAACUCCCUCUCUGGCCUGCUGAUUAUCCCGCACACCUGUCACCAUCGUCUUGCGCACCUGCGCCUCAUGACACUCACCUGGACUCCAUCACCUCCUUGAUUAUCUUCCCUAUA